CUUGCUGCUUUGCUGACGAGUGGCGGACGGGUGAGUAAUGUCUGGGAAACUGCCUGAUGGAGGGGGAUAACUACUGGAAACGGUAGCUAAUACCGCAUAACGUCGCAAGACCAAAGAGGGGGACCUUCGGGCCUCUUGCCAUCGGAUGUGCCCAGAUGGGAUUAGCUAGUAGGUGGGGUAAAGGCUCACCUAGGCGACGAUCCCUAGCUGGUCUGAGAGGAUGACCAGCCACACUGGAACUGAGACACGGUCCAGACUCCUACGGGAGGCAGCAGUGGGGAAUAUUGCACAAUGGGCGCAAGCCUGAUGCAGCCAUGCCGCGUGUAUGAAGAAGGCCUUCGGGUUGUAAAGUACUUUCAGCGGGGAGGAAGGGAGUAAAGUUAAUACCUUUGCUCAUUGACGUUACCCGCAGAAGAAGCACCGGCUAACUCCGUGCCAGCAGCCGCGGUAAUACGGAGGGUGCAAGCGUUAAUCGGAAUUACUGGGCGUAAAGCGCACGCAGGCGGUUUGUUAAGUCAGAUGUGAAAUCCCCGGGCUCAACCUGGGAACUGCAUCUGAUACUGGCAAGCUUGAGUCUCGUAGAGGGGGGUAGAAUUCCAGGUGUAGCGGUGAAAUGCGUAGAGAUCUGGAGGAAUACCGGUGG
rnacentral:rRNA from 1 species